AGUGUUUAGUGAUAUUUUUCCUCUUAACGCCCCUGAAGAAGAGUCUGAUGUGGAUCAAAGGACCCCCCUGACUGUUGGCUUUUUAGCCCCUGAACCAUACAGGGCUCCUCCUGCAAGCUGAAUCUGUCCUUGUUAGGCUAUUUUGUCAUGGUCUAAUAUUCUGUCAGACCUAAAAUCUUGAAAACAAUAAUGAUACAUCGGCAAAAAAAUAUUUAUAAAUACCUGUUUUGGACCUCCCUUUCUACGCCCCUGAUCAAGAGAAAAAAAAAUUUGAAAUUUUUUUAUGCCCCUUAUGGAUUAAAAGAAUAUAGGUGCAAAGUUAGCACCAUUUAUCUCUAUUAUUACAAGAGUUAUUACAAACUCUAGGAGACUAGUGAGGUCCUUUCCUUCAU